rnacentral:rRNA from 1 species
UACGUAGGUGGCAAGCGUUAUCCGGAAUUAUUGGGCGUAAAGCGCGCGCAGGUGGUUUCUUAAGUCUGAUGUGAAAGCCCACGGCUCAACCGUGGAGGGUCAUUGGAAACUGGGAGACUUGAGUGCAGAAGAGGAAAGUGGAAUUCCAUGUGUAGCGGUGAAAUGCGUAGAAGAUAUGGAGGAACACCAGUGGCGAAGGCGACUUUCUGGUCUGUAACUGACACUGAGGCGCGAAAGCGUGGGGAGCAAACAGG